UCAAGCGAAUAAGCGCACACGGUGGAUGCCUAGGCGGUCAGAGGCGAUGAAGGACGUGGUAGCCUGCGAAAAGUGUCGGGGAGCUGGCAACAAGCUUUGAUCCGGCAAUGUCCGAAUGGGGAAACCCACUGCUUCGGCAGUAUCCUGCAGUGAAUUCAUAGCUGCUGGAAGCGAACCCGGUGAACUGAAAUAUCUAAGUAACCGGAGGAAAAGAAAUCAACCGAGAUUCCCUAAGUAGUGACGAGCGAACGGGGAGCAGCCCUUAAGCUGGAAUGGCUUUAGAAAAACAAUCUGGAAAGAUUGGCCAUAGAAGGUGAUAGCCCUGUAUUUAAAAGGGCCACUCCAGUGAAGACGAGUAGGGCGGGGCACGUGAAACCCUGUCUGAAUAUGGGGGGACCAUCCUCCAAGGCUAAAUACUCCUGACCGACCGAUAGUGAACCAGUACCGUGAGGGAAAGGCGAAAAGAACCCCGGAGAGGGGAGUGAAAUAGAUCCUGAAACCGUGUGCGUACAAGCAGUAGGAGCUCGCAAGAGUGACUGCGUACCUUUUGUAUAAUGGGUCAGCGACUUACUGUUCGUGGCAAGCUUAACCGUAUAGGGGAGGCGAAGGGAAACCGAGUCUGAUAAGGGCGCAUAGUCGCGGGCAGUAGACCCGAAACCGGGUGAUCUAGUCAUGGCCAGGGUGAAGGUGCCGUAACAGGUACUGGAGGCCCGAACCCACGUCUGUUGCAAAAGACGGGGAUGAGCUGUGAUUAGGAGUGAAAAGCUAAUCGAACCCGGAGAUAGCUGGUUCUCCUCGAAAGCUAUUUAGGUAGCGCCUCGGACGAAUACUACUGGGGGUAGAGCACUGUUAUGGCUAGGGGGUCAUCGCGACUUACCAAACCAUUGCAAACUCCGAAUACCAGUACGUACUAUCCGGGAGACACACGGCGGGUGCUAACGUCCGUCGUGAAAAGGGAAACAACCCAGACCCACAGCUAAGGUCCCAAAUUCACUGCUAAGUGGAAAACGAUGUGGAAAGGCAUAGACAGCCAGGAGGUUGGCUUAGAAGCAGCCACCCUUUAAAGAAAGCGUAAUAGCUCACUGGUCGAGUCGGUCUGCGCGGAAGAUUUAACGGGGCUAAGCAGUGAACCGAAGCUUGGGGUGCAUAAAACUUGUUUUAUGCGCGGUAGAGGAGCGUUCCGUAAGCCUGCGAAGGUGGAUUGAGAAGUCUGCUGGAGGUAUCGGAAGUGCGAAUGCUGACAUGAGUAACGAUAAUGCGGGUGAAAAGCCCGCACGCCGAAAGCCCAAGGUUUCCUUGCGCAACGUUAAUCGACGCAGGGUUAGUCGGUCCCUAAGGCGAGGGCGAAAGCCGUAGUCGAUGGGAAGCAGGUUAAUAUUCCUGCACCUCGCGUGAGUGCGAUGGAGGGACGGAGAAGGUUAGGUGUACCGGGCGUUGGUUGUCCCGGGGAAAGGCGGUAGGUUUGGAUCUUUGGCAAAUCCGGGAUCCUUUAAGACCGAGCACCGAGACGAGCCUUUAUGGCAAAGUCACUGAUACCACGCUUCCAGGAAAAGCUCCUAAGCUUCAGCUCACGAAGACCGUACCGUAAACCGACACAGGUGGGUAGGAUGAGAAUUCUCAGGCGCUUGAGAGAACUCGGGUGAAGGAACUAGGCAACAUGGCACCGUAACUUCGGGAGAAGGUGCACCCUUUUUGGUGGCUCAUGCGAGCUAUAGCUGAAGAGGGUCGCAGAAACCAGGCCGCUGCGACUGUUUAUCAAAAACACAGCACUCUGCAAACACGAAAGUGGACGUAUAGGGUGUGACGCCUGCCCGGUGCUGGAAGGUUAAUUGAUGGGGUCAGCCGCAAGGCGAAGCUCUUGAUCGAAGCCCCAGUAAACGGCGGCCGUAACUAUAACGGUCCUAAGGUAGCGAAAUUCCUUGUCGGGUAAGUUCCGACCUGCACGAAUGGCGUAACGACAGCGGCGCUGUCUCCACCCGAGACUCAGUGAAAUUGAAAUCGCUGUGAAGAUGCAGCGUUCCCGUGGCAAGACGGAAAGACCCCGUGAACCUUUACUAUAGCUUUACACUGAACGUUGAGUUCGUCUGUGUAGGAUAGGUGGGAGGCUAUGAAACUGUGGCGCUAGCUGCAGUGGAGCCAUCCUUGAAAUACCACCCUGUCGUGCUUGACGUUCUAACCUAGAUCCGUUAUCCGGAUCAGGGACCGUGUAUGGUGGGUAGUUUGACUGGGGCGGUCUCCUCCUAAAGAGUAACGGAGGAGCACGAAGGUACGCUCAGCGCGGUCGGACAUCGCGCACUGUGUGCAAAGGCAUAAGCGUGCUUGACUGCAAGAUCGACGGAUCAAGCAGGUACGAAAGUAGGUCUUAGUGAUCCGGUGGUUCUGUAUGGAAGGGCCAUCGCUCAACGGAUAAAAGGUACUCCGGGGAUAACAGGCUGAUACCGCCCAAGAGUUCAUAUCGACGGCGGUGUUUGGCACCUCGAUGUCGGCUCAUCACAUCCUGGGGCUGUAGUCGGUCCCAAGGGUAUGGCUGUUCGCCAUUUAAAGUGGUACGCGAGCUGGGUUCAGAACGUCGUGAGACAGUUCGGUCCCUAUCUGCCAUGGGCGUUGGAAGUUUGAGAGGGGCUGCUCCUAGUACGAGAGGACCGGAGUGGACGAACCUCUGGUGUUCCGGUUGUCACGCCAGUGGCAUUGCCGGGUAGCUAUGUUCGGAAGCGAUAACCGCUGAAAGCAUCUAAGCGGGAAGCGCGCCUCAAGAUGAGACUUCCCGGGGCACAAGCCCCCUAAAGGAACCAUAUAGACUAUGUGGUUGAUAGGUCAGGUGUGUAAGUACAGCAAUGUAUUGAGCUAACUGAUACUAAUGAUCCGUGCGGCUUGACC
rnacentral:rRNA from 3 species